AGUCGAACAAAAUUUAUUUGUUUUUUCGACAAAUUAAUUGGAAAUGAUUUAAUUUAAUCCAAAAAUAAUUGAAAAAAAA
rnacentral:misc_RNA from 1 species